rnacentral:hammerhead_ribozyme from 1 species
AUCCAGCUGACAAAUCCUAAAUAGGAUGAAACGCGCGUCAAACUAGAU